GGCAGUCUCAGCCAGACCAGCUCUUACUUGAUGGAUAUCAAAGUCUGCUUGGGAAGUCAGCAACCUCUACGAUGGAGAGGACAUGCCGUAAAAAGCUCAGCUUGAGCUUGACUUUAGGCAACCUGACAGCAUGAACAUUGAAUUCUCCAAUUUCAGAGACUGCACAUCAUAUCAAGGCCAGCAUUUAUUGUUCGUACCUGAUUGUCCUUGAGAAGGUGGUGAUGAGCUGCCCUCUUGAAUCGCUGCAGUGGCUCUGCCGAAGGUAAUCUCACAUAGGUGUGGAUAGGGAGUUCAUGAUUUAGAUCUAGUGAAAAUAAGGGACUAGUGAUAUAUUUCCAAGUCAGAAUGGAGUGUGACUUGGAGGGAAGCUGCAGGUGGUGGUGCUCCCAUCUGCCUUGGCUACUGAAGUGACCACAGUAAACAGAACUGGAUAUAUUUUUAUUCAUUUAUUCAUUCAUGAAAUGUGGAUACCACUGCAUUUUAUUAUUUCAGUAGAGCCAGAGAGUUAUUCAGUACAGAAACGGGCCCUUUGGCCCAUCUUGCCCAUGCUGACCAUGAUGCUUAUUCUACACUAAUCCCAUUUGCCCACAUUAGGCCCAUAUCUCUCUGCUCCUUACCUAUUGAAGAACCUGUCCACAUACCUUUAAACACUGUGAUUAUCCCACUUUCUCUGGCAGCUCAUUCCAGAUAACCCCAGCUUCCGUGUGAAAAUUUGACCCACAGAUCUUCUUUAAAUUUCUCCCCUCUCACCCUAAACCUACGCUCUCUUGUUCUAGACUCCCCCAUCCCAGCAAAAGACUCUGGACAUGUGUCUUCUCUGUGCUCCUCAUAAUUUUAGGUUCAAGUUUAUUGUCAUAGGCAUACAUACACAGGGUAUAAAAGCCAUGAAAAUUAGCUUUUUGCAGCACCAGCACAGUAAAUUACAAACAUGACAAACAUAAGUUAACAUAAACUUAAACUAAC